AGCUACUACCUCCGUUUCAGGUUAUGAGACUUUCUAGCAUUGCCCACAUUCAUAAAGAUGUUAAUGAAUCUAGGCACAUAUAUAUGUCUAGAUUCAUUAACAUAUAUAUGAAUGUGGGCGAUGCUAGAAAAUCUUAUAACCUAUGUGCCUAGAUUCAUUAACAUAUAUAUGAAUGUGGGCAAUGCUAGAAAGUCUUAUAAUAUGAAACGGAGGAAGUACUUAC
rnacentral:miRNA from 1 species